rnacentral:rRNA from 1 species
GACGAACGCUGGCGGCGUGCUUAACACAUGCAAGUCGAACGAUGAAGAAGAGACACGCGCACUUCGGUUCAAAUUUCACUUCGGAUUAGUGGCAGACGGGUGAGUAACGCGUGAGCAACCUACCUCUUACAAAGGGAUAGCCUCGGGAAACCGUGAUUAAUACCAUAUGACACAUUCAUAAGGCAUCUUAAGAAUGUUAAAGCUACGGCGGUAAGAGAUGGGCUCGCGUCCCAUUAGCUAGUUGGUGAGGUAACGGCCCACCAAGGCGACGAUGGGUAACCGGCCUGAGAGGGUGAACGGUCACAUUGGAACUGAGACACGGUCCAAACUCCUACGGGAGGCAGCAGUGGGGAAUAUUGCACAAUGGAGGGAACUCUGAUGCAGCGACGCCGCGUGAGCGAUGAAGGAAUUCGUUUCGUAAAGCUCUGUUCUAUGGGAAGAAAAGGACGGUACCAUAGGAGAAAGCCCCGGCUAAAUACGUG